CAUGGUGAAACCCCGUCUCUACUAAAAAUACAAAAAUUAGCUGAGCAUGGUGGCGCAUGCCUGUAAUUCCAGCUACUUGGGAGGCUGAGGCAAGAGAAUCGCUUGAACCCAGGAGGCAGAGGUUGCAGUGAGCUGAGAUCACGCCACUGCACUCCAGCCUGGGCGACAGAGAAAGACUGUCUCAAAAAAAAAAGAACUACUUUCCUUUUCAGUGGAACACCUGGGAGAAGUCUCCUAAGGGAACGGGGUUGAAGAGGCCCAACCAAACUCCUGAAAUAUGUAUUUUCUCCCUGCUUUCCUAGGUAUGUUCUCCUACGUCAUGCUGGCCAGCAGCCCUCUCUUCUGCUCCCCUGAGUGGCCUCGGAAGCUGGUGUCCUACUGCCCCCAAAGGUUGCAAGAACUGUUGCCCCUCAAGGCAGCCCCUCAGCCCAGUGUUUCCUGUGUGUAUAAGAGGAGCCGGGGCAAAAGUGGCCAGAAGCCAGGGCUGCGCCAUCAGCUGGGAGCUGCCUUCACCCUGCUCUACCUCCUGGAGCAGCUAUUCCUGCCCUAUUCUCAUUUUCUCACCCAGGGCUAUAACAACUGGACAAAUGGGCUGUAUGGCUAUUCCUGGGACAUGAUGGUGCACUCCCGCUCCCACCAGCACGUGAAGAUCACCUACCGUGAUGGCCGCACUGGCGAACUGGGCUACCUUAACCCUGGGGUGAGAUGUCUGACGC
rnacentral:sRNA from 1 species